rnacentral:ncRNA from 1 species
CGCGUGCUCCGGGGUCGGUGCAAGUCCGAACCGGCGGUGACAGUCCGCGACCCGAGGCCCUGCUCGCAGGGCUGAGGUUGAACCGGUGGAACUCCGGUACCGACGGUGAAAGUCCGGAUGGAAGGCGCACGCU